CAAACGUAAUUUUUAAAAUGUGGUUGCAUUAAAAAACAACGUGUACUACUUAUAUAGGUAUUUAUGGACAAACUAGGGAUUCCAAAAAGGUAAUUUGCAUGAUAAUAAUGACGAUUGGGUACGUAGAUCUUAUCAAACAAGAAAAUACAGAACGAUAUUAAAUAUAUAGAUAGAGUGAGAUCGACAGACAGAAUAAGUCUUCUUAACAGACCUUAAGCUGCGACAGAAACAUCCUGUUAUGGCUGUUACUCAUCUCAUACUAAUGGCACCAGUGGCGCACCCAGGGGGUGGUUUGGGUGUUAAAACCCCUCCCACCGGCCACCAGUACAUACAAAGAAUAGUAGGAAAAUACAAAUCGGAGAUCCAAAAGUUUUUUUGAUCCAAAAUUGAGUGAUUUGAAAUGGAAUCACCCGUAAUUAUAUGGUAUAAGUUCUUGGCUUGUGGCAGGUGUCGUCCAUUGACGAUUGACGACUCUCUGGAAUUGACCUAGCAGCUUGGUCUUCUGGCCAAAGUCUUUUUAGGCUUAGGAGUCUGUCAAUCACUGGAGGGUUUUGAAUUUUAAACUUUAUCGCAGAGUAAAUGUUGAAAAAUACUUUUUAUUGUACCUAUUAUAUUAUAUAAACAAUGAAAUAUUAUUCUGGUCCAGAUAAUAAAAAUAUUAUUUAUAACAAUUAUUAAA